UCCAACAGGUGAGGCAACCUUCAUACGUGCACUGUUGAUCUUACAAAGGUACAUAUGUAGCUUACCUCUUAGAUUUGUUCAUAAAUUCGUGCUACCUAUGUGCUAUGACAAAGCUUAAGCUAGACAUCACUAGAUUGUACUUCACAAGGACUCUCUCAUGAUAUUGCACAAGGAUCCUUUGUUUGGUAGUUCAAGCCAUGGAGGUGCUCGAGGUUCGAGCCGCGGUCAUGCUUGAGCCCAUUCUGAAGAAGAUGCACCUGCCCUUGCCAAAAAAAAUGGCUGGCACCUUCGUACCCCAAGUUUGGCUGCACUUUCCUCUUUAGUAUAUUUUCCACUGUCAUGUAAUUAUCAUGUUGUGGUGCAUGUAGCACUGUACUUCCGUUCCUCUGGACCUACUAAACCUCAUCGGUCCUUAUAUACCUAUUUCAAUCC